UACGGAGGGGGCUAGCGUUGUUCGGAAUUACUGGGCGUAAAGCGCACGUAGGCGGACUGGAAAGUCAGAGGUGAAAUCCCAGGGCUCAACCUUGGAACUGCCUUUGAAACUCCCGGUCUUGAGGUCGAGAGAGGUGAGUGGAAUUCCGAGUGUAGAGGUGAAAUUCGUAGAUAUUCGGAGGAACACCAGUGGCGAAGGAGGCUCACGGGCUCGAUACUGACUAUGAGGUGCGAAAGCGUGGGGAGCAAACAGG
rnacentral:rRNA from 1 species